ACUGUUAGUAAAUCGGAGAAGAACGUUUAUGCGUUCAAUUUACAUGCACUCCAUUCAACUCUAAUAUAUUCAGAUUGGCAUCUCUCGGUGUGGAGUACUUUAAAAAAAAACAUAAUUCAAGAUUCAUUCACACGCUACAGGGAUGUACAACAAGUUUGAAGUCAAGCAAAAGGGAUGAGGAUAAUGACUUCAACCUCAACUGUCAACUUUAUGACACUGGCUCAUGUAUGAUAGUGAUUUCGUCCAACUAACUUGUUAAACUGAUGGCGUUACCGCACUCCCCGGCAUCUACUACUUUAUUUGGAGUGGGACCACAAAUCUGUCGUACUGCUCUUCAGAGAGCCGAUUCUGCAUAAUGAACCUAUGACAUCAGACUUUUCCUGGAGAUCAGCAGGUUCAGGAAUUGCUCCCUGUCCGCCGCAGAGUGUUCUUGCCCAGGAUGCCCAUGCACAACAACCCUGAUAUUUUUUUAAAAGAUAGCCCCUUCUGGACUGUGGAGUUGAGGUGGGAUUUCGAUGUAUUCUAUGUCUUAAAAAAAGGAAACCAGUCACUUCAAGCUCGAUGAAUCCUUGAAUAAUUCUGCUAGGUGCUUUUUCUAAAAGGCUAUGUUAUUCCCAAUCUCAGCUCAAUACCUUUGGACGAUAACCUGUAUCCACCAGAGACUCUGGCCAACUUUAUGCAUGGUGUGCAUCAUUAAAUUUAAUAGAUGAAUUAGAGUGACUGCAACCGUGUGGUUAGUUAAUUAUUUCAUUAUUGAAAUCUGGUUUCAUGUUGCAUGUGCAAACUACAAAAGUCUGAUUAAAAACA